UACGUAGGGUGCAAGCGUUGUCCGGAAUUAUUGGGCGUAAAGAGCUCGUAGGCGGUCUGUCGCGUCUGCUGUGAAAACUCAGGGCUUAACCCUGAGCUUGCAGUGGGUACGGGCAGACUAGAGUGCGGUAGGGGAGACUGGAAUUCCUGGUGUAGCGGUGAAAUGCGCAGAUAUCAGGAGGAACACCGAUGGCGAAGGCAGGUCUCUGGGCCGAUACUGACGCUGAGGAGCGAAAGCGUGGGGAGCGAACAGG
rnacentral:rRNA from 1 species